rnacentral:rRNA from 1 species
UACGGGGGGGGCAAGCGUUGUUCGGAAUUACUGGGCGUAAAGGGCUCGUAGGCGGCCAACUAAGUCGGACGUGAAAUCCCUCGGCUUAACCGGGGAACUGCGUCCGAUACUGGAUGGCUUGAGUUCGGGAGAGGGAUGCGGAAUUCCAGGUGUAGCGGUGAAAUGCGUAGAUAUCUGGAGGAGCACCGGUGGCGAAGGCGGCAUCCUGGACCGACACUGACGCUGAGGAGCGAAAGCUAGGGGAGCAAACAGG